AAAUCGCCUACACAUUGUUUUGUGGAUGGACAGAUUCUUAUUUCUUGUGUGUAAAUUCCUGGCUUAUAGGUUAGAGGUAUGUUUAACUUUUCUGUUGUGACUUGAAGUCAGACAGACCUGGGUGUGUGAAUCCUUCUGGCCCGCCCCUUGCUCCCUGGCCCCGAGGCAGUUCCAUUUUUGCUCGUGCUUGGUUUUCUCAGGUGUAAAAUAGGCAUCCUGUGCUGCAGUAAUCCAGGUUCAGUUAGACAUGCGCGCCAUUGCUGCUCCUGUGUUUCUAGGAGAGCAAGGCUGAAUGUGGGGUGCGAAGGCUGCUGCGGUGAGGGCCCAGGGUCCACCCUGGCUUUCAGAAUUGCCCUACAGAAACGCAGGGAGCCCCCUCCCCCAAGCUUCCCCUCCACAGCCUGAGGUGGGUGAGGUGACAGGGAGCUUGGAGAUGAUGACUUGUGUCCUCGAAAUCCAGCUUGCUACUGUCGCACUUAGAAAAAGAAAAGCAGGGGCUGGGGACUUAGCUCAGCGGCACAGCGCCUGCCUGGCAAGUGCGACGUAGUAAGUUUGAUUCCCGGUACCGGAAAAGAACCAAAAAAACAACAAAAAAAAAGAAAAGCAAAAGACUCUGCUUCCUGGUCCUUCCCCAUCGCCCCCUCUGCAGAAUCUCCUGGGCCAGGUGGUUGGGCCCUUCUGUGCCUGAGAGAAACAGCAGCUCAGUGCCAGCACCCAGAAGCGGCCCGGAAACUUCCCAGGGUUGCUGUGAGGUGUAUAGUCGGUGCCAGGGUUAAUGAUUUUUCCUUUUCACAACGUUCUCGGCGAACCCGACACUGCAGCCCGCGCUAGACUAAUCUCUGGAGCGCAUGCUCAGGCCUCCUUGGCGUUUAGUCACCUGCCUGGCGCAGGUGCUGCAGCUGCGAGAGCUGCCGGCCACCGCAGGUGCUGUUCCUCCCGAAGGACCUCGACGUCUCACCUACGCUCAGCUUGCAGCAGGCAUGGAGGAACUGAAAUGGGAACAGUACACUGUGACCCUACAGAAGGAUUCCAAAAGAGGAUUUGGAAUUGCAGUGUCUGGAGGCAGAGACAACCCCCAUUUUGAAAAUGGAGAGACCUCCAUCGUCAUUUCUGAUGUGCUUCCAGGUGGACCUGCCGAUGGUCUGCUUAAAGAAAAUGACAGGGUGGUCAUGGUUAACGGCACCUCCAUGGAGGGUGUGCUCCAUUCGUUUGCAGUUCAGCAGCUAAGGAAAAGCGGGAAGGUCGCCGCCAUCGUAGUCAAGCGCCCACGGAUAGUCCAGGUGGCCCCACUCCAGGGCAGCCCUGCCCUCAGUCACGAUGACCGGGCUUUUGAUGUGAUGGACGAGUUCGAUAGCAGAAGUUUCCGCAGCGGGUACAGUGAGAGGAGCCGGCACAGCAGCCGUGAAGAGUUUAACCGCAGCUGGGAGGGCAGCCUGGACAGGAGCCGUGGCCACCACCGACACCAAGAUCAGGACCGCAGCCGCGGCCAGAGCCUAGAGCGAGGCCUGGACCGUGAUGAUCGCCGUGCCCGGGACCGCAGCCGCGGCCGGAGCAUCGACCGGGACUACGAGCGGGAUUAUGAGCGGAACUAUGAACACGCCUACCACCAGGCCUAUGGGCAGGACAGCCCGUCUGGGGAGAAUCGCCGCCGGGUCCAGCCGGAGCCCCGCUAUGAGCACCCCAGGAGCAGGAGCCAGGAGCACUUCCACUCGCAUAGCCCCAGCCCUGAGCCCCGGGGCCAACCUGCACCCGACAGGCACAUCGGGGUCCUCCUGACGAAGAGCAAAGCCAGUGAAGAGUAUGGUCUCCGGCUAGGCAGUCAGAUCUUCAUCAAGGAAAUGACCAAAACAGGUCUGGCAUCGAAAGAUGGCAACCUUCAUGAAGGGGAUCUGAUCCUCAAGAUCAAUGGGACUGUCACUGAGAACAUGUCAUUAAUUGAUGCUGGGAAGUUGAUAGAGAAGUCUAGAGGAAAACUCCAGCUUGUCGUGUUCAGAGACAGCAAGCAGACACUCAUCAAUAUCCCAUCACUGAAUGACAGCGACUCAGAAUUAGAAGAUAUCUCAGAAAUGGAGUCAGUCCGAUCAUUUUCUCCAGAGGAAAGACGCCAGCAGUAUUCUGAUUAUGAUUACCAUUCCUCCAGUGAGAAGCUGAAGGAGAGACCAAGCUCGAGGGAGGAUGCACCGCCAGGCAGACUGUCUAGGAUGGGUGCCACACCCACUCCGUUCAAGGCUUCAGGGGACAGUGCUGCUGCUUUCGUCACAGACACCAAAAAGGAACCCAGAUCCCAAGAGGAAACCCCUGCGCCUCUACCCAGAACAGCCCCAAGAACUUUUCUCCGUCCUAGUCCUGAAGAUGAAGCAAUAUAUGGCCCUGACACCAAGAUGUUGAAGUUCAAGAAGGGAGACAGUGUGGGCCUGCGGUUGGCUGGUGGCAAUGAUGUUGGAUUGUUUGUUGCUGGCAUUCAAGAGGGUACUGCCGCGGAGCAGGCAGGCCUGCAGGAAGGAGACCAGAUUCUGAAGGUGAAUACACAGGACUUUAGAGGACUGGUUCGGGAGGAUGCCGUUCUCUACCUGUUAGAAAUUCCCAAGGGUGAAAUGGUGACCAUUUUAGUUCAGAGCCGAGCUGAUGUGUACAGAGACAUCCUGGCUUGUGGCAGAGGUGAUUCGUUUUUUAUAAGAGCCCACUUUGAGUGUGAGAAGGAAACUCCACAGAGCCUGGCCUUUACCCAUGGGGAGGUCUUCCGUGUAGUGGACACACUGUAUGAUGGCAAGCUGGGCCACUGGCUGGCUGUGAGGAUCGGAAAUGAACUGGAGAAAGGCUUAAUCCCCAACAAAAGCAGAGCUGAACAGAUGGCCAGUGUCCAGAAUGGCCAGAGGGACAAUGCUGGGGACAGGGCAGACUUCUGGAGAAUGCGUGGCCAGAGAUCCGGGGCAAAGAAGAACCUGAGGAAGAGCCGAGAAGACCUGACAGCUGCGGUGUCAGUGAGCACCAAAUUCCCAGCAUAUGAAAGGGUUCUUCUGCGAGAAGCUGGUUUCAAGAGACCUGUGGUGCUAUUUGGCCCCAUAGCAGAUAUAGCAAUGGAAAAGUUGACAAAUGAGUUACCUGACUUGUUUCAAACAGCAAAGACAGAACCAAAAGACGCAGGAUCUGAGAAAUCUACUGGAGUAGUUCGGUUAAAUACUGUGAGGCACAUUAUUGAGCAGGAUAAGCAUGCCCUCCUAGACGUGACUCCAAAAGCUGUGGACCUGUUGAAUUAUACCCAGUGGUUCCCAAUUGUGAUAUUUUUCAACCCAGAUUCUAGACAAGGUGUUAAAAUCAUGAGACAGAGAUUGAAUCCAUCAUCCAACAAAAGUUCUCGAAAGUUAUAUGAUCAAGCCAACAAGCUCAAGAAAACCUGUGCACAUCUUUUUACAGCUACAGUCAACCUAAAUUCAGCCAAUGAUAGCUGGUUUGGCAGCUUGAAAGACACCAUUCAGAAUCAGCAAGGACAAGCAGUGUGGGUCUCUGAAGGAAAGAUUGAAGGGAUGGAUGAUGACCCCGACGACCACAUGUCCUACUUAACCGCCUUGGGCGCGGACUAUCUGAGUUGCGACAGCCGCCUCAUCAGUGACUUUGAAGACACGGAUGGCGAAGGAGGUGCCUACACUGACAAUGAGCUGGAUGAGCCAGCCGAGGAGCCGCUGGUGUCUUCCAUCACCCGCUCCUCGGAGCCGGUGCAGCAUGAGGAGACAAAACCCCAGAACAAAGAAGAAUCCUAUGACUUCUCCAAAUCCCAGGAAUACAAGUCAAACCCCUCUGCUGCGGGUGGCGAUGAAAUUCCCAGGACAGCAGCCAGAGGUUGUCCUCCCCCUGUUGCGGUGAAACCCUCCUUUGGACGAUCCCUCCAGAAGCCCUCUGUCCCUGUCCCUGUCCCUGUCCCUCCCCCUGAGAGUGAGGAGGUCGGGGAGAGCAUCGAGGAGCAAGAGGACACUCCCAAAUCGGUCCUGGGCAAAGUCAAAAUAUUUGAGAAGAUGGAUCAUAAGGCAAGACUACAGAGGAUGCAGGAGCUCCAGGAAGCACAGAAUGCACAGAUUGAAAUUGCUCAGAAGCAUCCUAGUCUCUAUGCAGUUCCAAUCAAAAGCCCCAAGCCAGAUGCCGGCCUGCUGCAGCACACGAGUUCCAGACCCCCCGAGCCGCAGAAAGGCCCCUCCAGACUCUCUCAGAAUAUGCAAGGAAGUUACGGAAGUGACGCAGAGGAGGAGGAGUACCGCCAGCAGCUGGCAGAGCACUCAAAGCGCAGUUACUACGCCCAGCCCGCCAGGUACCGGGACACCGAAUUGUAGCGUCUGAACGUGGACUUUCUGGGCCCAUCAGACGCUCCUGGGAGGCACUGGGAUCAUUCUUCCACGGCAGAAACGCACUGGGUGUGGUGGGAACCAAAUGCGGGUUCUCCUGGGGGCCCCAGGUGCCAGCCAGCAUACUAAGACUCUGUGGAACCAGGGUGGAGAAGUUUAUUAUGGCUUUGUGCUCAGAAUUGAGAGGAACACUGCAGUCAGAUACUGUUACUUGCUUCAGUGAACCAAAAUCUGUAUUAAUGCUGUCGGUGUGUUUUUUAUAUGUAUAUUAAGAAGCAAUAACUCAAGGACGGCUUGAGGCUGAAUGUGAAAAAAAGGAAUAAAAUACACUGUUCGAUCAAACUAAAUUUAAAUUUAAAGUAUUUUACUAUAAAGUGCCUUUGAUAAGAACUGUCUUAAAUUCUUCCUUAAAGCUUUAUGCAAAGCCAUAAUGGACUAAAACUUUAUCUUGGCUACAUUUUUUAUACCAGUUUAAUAGCUAUGGUUUUUCCCUGCACUGUGUCAUCUUUUCAAAGUGUUCAUCUUUGUAAUAUUUUCUAUAAAUUCUGAUUGUACAUAUAAUAGCUAUCCUUGGUAAUUUGGCUGUAAAGUGCUAAAAAACUUGAAGGCCAAGAAGUUGGUAUGGGAACUUACUUGUUUAAAGUCAUGUGCUCCACAACAGAAGAUAGUAGAGAAGAGCAUUUUACUUCCACAAGUGUGUGUAUUCAUGGCCGUCAGUUUUAUAAUUUAAUAAAAAGGAAGAAUACAUUGUAAUCAAUGACGUGCUUUGUGGUGAAUUUCUGCACGCCGUGCGCGCGCACACACACACACACACAGCCCAUGCUGAGGACUGAACUCAAGGCGUUGAGGUACACAAGCAAGUGCUCUGCUGGUGAGCUACGCCCUCAGCCUUCCUGUUUUUAAGUGUAACUUUUAUUUCAGUUACUCAUCAUACAAGUGGAAACUGGUUCAUUGCUGAACAGGGAAUGGAGCGCGUAUGAGUAACAAAAUAAAGACUACUGAUAAUCUUGCA
rnacentral:lncRNA from 1 species